GAGUUUGAUCAUGGCUCAGAUUGAACGCUGGCGGCACGCCUUACACAUGCAAGUCGAACGGCAGCACGGGAGCUUGCUCCUGGUGGCGAGUGGCGAACGGGUGAGUAAUGCAUCGAAACGUAUCCUGGAGUGGGGGAUAACGUAGCGAAAGUUACGCUAAUACCGCAUAUUCUGUGAGCAGGAAAGCGGGGGACCUUCGGGCCUCGCGCUCUUGGAGCGGCCGAUGUCGGAUUAGCUAGUUGGUGAGGUAAAGGCUCACCAAGGCGACGAUCCGUAGCAGGUCUGAGAGGAUGAUCUGCCACACUGGAACUGAGACAC
rnacentral:rRNA from 1 species